rnacentral:rRNA from 1 species
CACGUAGGGCGCAAGCGUUGUCCGGAAUUAUUGGGCGUAAAGAGCUCGUAGGCGGUCUGUUGCGUCCGCUGUGAAAACCCGGGGCUCAACCCCGGGCCUGCAUUCGAUACGGGCAAACUAGAGUUCGGUAGGGGAGUCUGGAAUUCCUGGUGUAGCGGUGAAAUGCGCAGAUAUCAGGAGGAACACCGGUGGCGAAGGCGGGACUCUGGGCCGAUACUGACGCUGAGGAGCGAAAGCGUGGGGAGCGAACAGG